rnacentral:misc_RNA from 1 species
GAUGAAGGACGUAGCGAAAUGCGAUAAGUAAUGUGAAUUGCAGAAUUCAGUGAAUCAUCGAAUCUUUGAACGCACAUUGCGCCCGUCAGUAUUCUGGCGGGCAUGCCUGUUCGAGCGUCAUUACGCCCCUCAAGUCCCCUGUGGACUUGGUGUUGGGGAUCGGCGAGGCUGGUUUUCCAGCACAGCCGUCCCUUAAAUUAAUUGGCGGUCUCGCCGUGGCCCUCCUCUGCGCAGUAGUAAAACACUCGCAACAGGAGCCCGGCGCGGUCCACUGCCGUAAAACCCCCCAACUUUUUAUAGUUGACCUCGAAUCAGGUAGGACUACCCGCUGAACUUAAGCAUAUCAUAAGCGGAGGA